CGGAAUUUUUGGGAAUUUUGGGCAUUGUGGAAUUUCGGGAAUGCCCGCAGGAGGAUUACGUGGCGGCGGGCGGGUGCGCGCCGGUGCCGCUGCGCUGGCUGGCGCCGGAGCUGCUGCGCGCCGGCCCCCAAGGGACGCUGGACGUGGCGCCGCAGAGCCCCGAGAGCAACGUCUGGGCGCUGGGGGUGACCCUGUGGGAGCUCCUGGAGUGGGGGGCCCAGCCCCUCCCCCACCUGUCGGACCGGCAGCUCCUGGGGCGGCUCCGGAGCCGCCGAGCGCCGGAACUGCCGCGGCCCCGGCUGGAGCUGCCACCGGCCUGGUGAGGGGACACCACGGGGACACCGGGGACACCGGGGGGAUUGGGGACACCGGGAACAUUGGGGACAUUGGGGACACCGGGGACAUUGGGGACAUUGGGGACACUGGGGACAUUGGGGGGGUUGGGGACAGGGAGGGUCCAGAACUGCCCCGGCCCCGGCUGGAGCUGCCACCGGCCUGGUUCGACCUCCUCCGGUCGUGCCGGCUGCCGCCGGCGCAGCGCCCGACCCUGGAGCAGCUCCACGGGCGCCUCUCGGCGCUGCUGGCG
rnacentral:lncRNA from 1 species